UAGCUCAGUUGGUAGAGCAUGGUGUGUGCAACACCAGGGUUGUGGGUUCGAUUCCCAC
rnacentral:tRNA from 1 species